rnacentral:lncRNA from 1 species
UAUGUAAUACAUGUGGAAGGAUGUUCAUCACAGUGUUGUUCAUAAAACAGAAACAAUAGUAACUAUGAAUCCAGAGAAAAUUAGCUAAAUAAAUGAAACAUUCCACAGAAGAAUUCUCAGGUGGGAGACAUUACCAAUUUCUGGUUCUCUUCGCCUUCCCUGAGGCACACAGAAGAUUAUAUAUCCCAGGCUUCCUGAAGUUAGAUGGCACCAUGUGACUACUUCUGGUCAGAGGACCAGGAACAAAGUGUUUCAGGUUGACUUUUAGACCAAGGCCGUGGAACGCCUUUGUGUAAUGUUCCAGCACUUUUCCCCUGCUGCAGUGACCAGAAGUCCCUCACCAAGAUGAGAACCAUAAGAUGGAAGAGGCAUGGAUCUGAGAGUCACCAUUUAGGAACACCGGACCCACAGCCAACUGUAGAUAAUCUCCUAUGAAAGAACAAAAAAUGUAUCACCCCCACACCUCAAAAGAGUGACGGGCCCUAAUCCUUAGGUCUACAUUCCAGGUUGCAGAGUCAAAAGAGCUUGCACUGUUGCUUCCUCCACCCACCUCUUCAACAGCCAGGAGCAGAAGAAUUCCCUAAUGAUAACUCCUAAAGAGACACUUAAAGUUCAAAGCUCUAGCACAUGAUGAAAGUAAGUUGAAUGACCUAAAGAGGAGAAAUAUGGAGAUGGUGCACCCUGACGAUUAGGAAGGGAAGCUCCAAGGCUUCUGAAAGAGUGAAUCUCCCGAACUUAAAUAAGAUAAUGAUGCUAAAUGCCCUACACAAAAUGGAAUCUCUCUGAGACAAGCCGGUCCUCAAAAAGCCUGGCAACAUGGGCACUUAUAAGGACUUGGUGUUAAGCACAGAGCCUCGGUAACCUCAGCAAAGACACUUCGUGGCAGAGAUGGAAAAGUGGAGCCAUCUUGUCUUGAUGGAUCAUGAAACCAUGGUGGGGAGCCAGGGCCACAGGAAUUAUUGUGCACUAAUGACCCAUGCCUUGCCAGACAUAAAAGACUCAG